AUUUGACGUUACCUACAGAAGAAGCACCGGCUAACUCCGUGCCAGCAGCCGCGGUAAUACGGAGGGGUGCGAGCGUUAAUCGGAAUUACUGGGCGUAAAGCGCAUGCAGGCGGCCUGUUAAGUCAGAUGUGAAAGCCCGGGGCGUUAACCUCGGAAUUGCAUUUGAAACUGGCAGGCUAGAGUCUUGUAGAGGGGGGUAGGAAGUUUCAGGUGUAGCGGUGAAAUGCGUAGAGAUCUGAAGGAAUACCAGUGGCGAAGGCGGCCCCCUCGGACAAAGACUGACGCUCAGAUGCGAAAGCGUGAGGAGCAAACAGGAUUAGAUACCCCUGGUAG
rnacentral:rRNA from 1 species